ensembl:snRNA U6 U6 spliceosomal RNA
CCGUGCUCACUUUGGCACUACCAUGCUAAAAUUGGGAUGAUGUGGAGAAGAUUAGCAUGGCCCCUGCACAAGGAUGACACCCAGAUUUGUGAAGCAUUCCAUAUUUUU